UACGUAGGGUGCAAGCGUUAAUCGGAAUACUGGGCGUAAAGCGUGCGCAGGCGGUGAUGUAAGACAGAUGUGAAAUCCCCGGGCUCAACCUGGGAACUGCAUUUGUGACUGCAUCGCUGGAGUGCGGCAGAGGGGGAUGGAAUUCCGCGUGUAGCAGUGAAAUGCGUAGAUAUGCGGAGGAACACCGAUGGCGAAGGCAAUCCCCUGGGCCUGCACUGACGC
rnacentral:rRNA from 1 species